GGCCGGCCGGGGGCCAAGCGCACCGUCGGGCAGACCCCCUGCCCAUCCCGGCGAGGCGGCACCUGUCUCCGGAGCAUCUCUUCGGAGCCUCGAAGCCCGCCACGGCCCAGGCGCGCCACGCAGGGGCGCGGCCGUCGGGGCGGUCGCGAAGCAGCGCCCGCCCCAGGGGGAAAAAACAAAAGAGGAUAAACGGUCUCUUUUUUAAAGAUGAUGCCAGCGUCCCAACUUGGCAUCCUCGGAUGCCGCUCGGUCCUUUGAAGCGAGGAGUUUGAUGUUUUCGGCGGACCCGGACUUUGUUACGUGCCCGCACGCGGCCUCGCAGCAAACCCGUCGUCUUUCUACGCACGCUUACACCGUCAUAAAGAAAAUAAUAAGAGCCUCCUUCUAAAGCGUAAAUCAAACCAGUUGAUUUAAAUCUAUUGUAUUUGUCUGCGGUAGACCGGUCCCUCAACACAAUAGCUAUUUGAAGGUGCUCUGUAACGUCAGCUCCCAGUAGCAGUAGGUGACCCUCUGAUAAAUGGAAGCCAACAGACGUUUGGGGUGAUUAACACCUUCCAAGCUCGUGCUUUAAGCCCCCGCUUUUGCAUGUGCUUACAUGUAAGCUUCACUUGAUUACCGUGCGUAUUGCCACUGAAAUACUGCUCAGAGCAGCAAAGUUAAACGUACAUAAGCACUGGUAGGAUUCAUAUCUAAAUCUCUUCCCCUUACAUCUUUCUUUUUCACUGAGAAGAUACCACGGGACUUUUUGACAGAGAAGACAACAAGGCUGGCAAAAAGCAAGAGACUGGUUGUUGAAUCAACUCUCUCAGUAUUUCUUUGUAAUUUUGUAAAAGUAGCAUGGAAGCUGCUCAGGAAUACUGGAACAUGAAACUGGAGAUAUGCAGAGAGAUUCACAGUGUAAAAGCUGGGUAUUUCAAAAGUGGAGAAUAAAUGACUAAUGUAUAGGGAUAUGUCCUCAGCACCAACCACUCCUCCGUCAGUGGAUAAAGUAGACGGAUUUUCUCGGAAGUCCGUCAGAAAAGCCAGGCAGAAGAGGUCGCAAAGCUCCUCCCAGUUUAGGUCUCAGGGCAAGCCUAUUGAAUUAACGCCUCUGCCUCUGCUAAAAGACGUUCCAUCUUCAGAGCAGCCUGAACUGUUCCUAAAGAAACUUCAACAGUGCUGUGUCAUUUUUGACUUCAUGGACACACUAUCAGACCUUAAAAUGAAAGAAUACAAGCGCUCCACUCUUAAUGAACUGGUGGACUACAUCACAAUAAGCAGAGGCUGUUUGACAGAGCAGACUUACCCUGAAGUAGUUAGAAUGGUAUCUUGCAAUAUAUUCAGAACUCUCCCACCUAGUGACAGCAACGAAUUCGACCCAGAAGAAGAUGAACCCACCCUUGAGGCAUCAUGGCCACAUUUACAGCUUGUAUAUGAGUUUUUCAUACGAUUUUUGGAAAGCCAAGAAUUCCAACCCAGCAUUGCCAAAAAGUACAUAGAUCAAAAAUUUGUAUUACAGCUUUUGGAACUGUUUGACAGUGAAGACCCCCGAGAGCGAGACUACCUGAAAACAGUCUUACACAGAAUUUAUGGCAAAUUUCUUGGUCUUAGAGCAUUUAUCCGAAAACAGAUAAACAAUAUUUUUCUACGGUUUGUUUAUGAAACUGAACAUUUCAAUGGUGUAGCUGAACUGCUGGAAAUUUUAGGAAGUAUUAUCAAUGGUUUUGCUUUACCUCUGAAGGCAGAGCACAAACAGUUUCUGGUGAAGGUGCUGAUUCCCUUACAUACUGUCAGGAGUUUAUCGCUCUUCCAUGCGCAGCUGGCAUAUUGCAUAGUACAGUUCUUGGAGAAAGAUCCUUCACUCACAGAACCAGUCAUUAGAGGCUUAAUGAAAUUCUGGCCAAAAACCUGCAGUCAGAAAGAGGUCAUGUUCCUCGGGGAGCUAGAAGAGAUCUUGGACGUGAUUGAACCUUCACAGUUCGUCAAAAUUCAAGAGCCCUUGUUUAAACAAAUUGCCAAGUGUGUGUCCAGCCCUCACUUUCAGGUGGCAGAAAGAGCACUGUAUUAUUGGAAUAAUGAAUACAUCAUGAGUUUAAUAGAGGAGAACUCCAAUGUUAUACUUCCUAUCAUGUUUUCCAGUCUUUAUAGGAUUUCCAAAGAACACUGGAAUCCGGCUAUUGUGGCUUUAGUCUACAAUGUGUUGAAGGCAUUUAUGGAAAUGAACAGCACCAUGUUUGAUGAGCUGACAGCCACUUACAAGUCAGAUCGUCAGCGCUUAUCCAAAGCGGCAGGUGAAAAAAAUGAGGAAACUUCGGGAACUCCGACUCGUUUAAGUCGUGCCUUUUGUGUGACUCAGGGUUCCCACAAGCAAAGCGAAGGGUACUGUAUGUCAUCAAACCUUGUUAGGUUAGUAUAGCCUCUGGAGGCACUUGGAGGCCAUGAUAUAUUAUUGAAUGACCAGACUCAUAGUUCACCAUCCACUUGUUUUGCUUUGAUUUUAGAGAUGCAAACAUGAAGUUUUAUAUUUACAGUCUGUAACUGAUGAAUUGGUUAGAUGAAAUAAUUAAUAAUAAUUUUAUUUCUGAAGACUUGGGUUUAAAACUGCACUAAGUCACAAGAGACUUGAUUGUUUCUUUGUAGGCCCUAAUAGAUGAGCCUUAAUUUAUCAGAUAGACCAAUCAGGUGAUGCAGUCAUUUUAUAUUUUGUAAUCAGUGAGACCAGAGAAUUCUAAAACAAGGAGUUAGAUCCAUCAAGGUGGUAAGAAGCCACUGCUGCUAGUGAAGUGAGUUGUUGCUUGAAGUGCUCUCCACACAUCCCACACAAGGCUCUCAGCAGAGGAUGUGACUUGCAUUAAUCAAGCUGUGUGAAGAAUUUUCCUAGCAUAUGCUUGAUGCUUGCAUUAAGUUAAUGCUUGCAUCUAACUUAAAUAGGGCUGGUGCUGAUCCUUUUACUACAUUUAUUUACAAAAUGCUAUUUUAAAGUAAAGUGUAAGUGUAUCAUGAAAUGUAUACAAUGGAAUAUAUAACUUAAAUAUUAAACCUUUUUUAAUAUUCACAAUUAAACAGUCACUGUUUUCUGCGACACCAUUAGGUUUCUCUGUUAAACAUGGCAUAGUGUUCAAACAUCUUGAUGUGCUGAUGUAAGUGCAUUAGUAUUUGUAGGGUGUCAUGUAGUCAAAAGUGGCAAAGAGUUCAAAAAAUAACAUUACUUAAUAUGGAAAACUUAUGAAUGAAAUUCCAAGGUAAAACACGCCCCCCAAAUGGAAGAGAUGAAUUGUUGUCUUUAUUGGGAUUAUCCACUUACAUACAUCUUCAUAGAAUCAGGGCCUCAGAAUAGAAAUAAGUGAUAAUACACGUCCAUUGGGUGCCUUAUUAGAACAACAUUUAUAAAAAUAAAAGCAGUAUGGUUGUUAUAAGACAGCUUCACAGAGCAGUUUUCAGAGCAGUUUUCAGUAUCAAUGAGGAUAAGUGUUCAAACAUGUGUGAAUUAAGAAGGAAGGAGAUAAACUACUGGACUGCUUUUAGUAAGAGGACCAUGUGGAGUACAAGGAUUAGAUGAUAGUUAUCAGUGAGAAGAAGAAGGAAAAGGAACGUGAAGAACUUUGGAAAAAACUGGAGGAUUUGGAAUUAAAGCGAGGUCUUAGACGUGAUGGAAUUAUUCCAACUUAACAAAAGAAACAAAACAACAUUAUUAACCUGUGGAGUCACACAUUUAUGUAGUAGAAGAUGGAGCAACAGUUUUCUGUAUUGUGCAACUUUACAGUAGAUUUCACAUUUGUUUCAUUAUUACAACAGCACUGUAUAUACCUGUCUCUAAGUAAAGGAAUAAUAAGGACUUUAAUCCAAAGUUUGGACAGCAGAUGGACUUCUCAGAACUUUGCAAACAUAAUAAUUGUUUUAACCCUUCUUUAAAACCAGUCUUCAAAGAUCUGUUGAUGAAAAUUGCUAUGUCAGAAUUCCAUUGUCAGGACUUUGUUCUUUAUUUAUCAUUAGCAGAGAGUAUGAUACAACUUUCAGAUGUGAACAAUCUUAAAUUUAGCUUGUCUUUCUGCUAAACUGUUAAAUGUAUUUAUAGUAAAAGAGAAAAAAAAAGACUGUCAUUUCCUUAUGAGUUUCUGUAACAUCCUCCUUCUCUGGAUAACUUUACUGUAAUUUUGACAUUUUUUUUUCCUUUUGCACAUCUUCAUGAGUUGAAUGUCCAUGCAGAUCAGGGCCAUGGAAAAUAUAGGUCCCUAAUAAAGUUUUGUUUACUGGUGCAAACAUUUUCUAGUACCAGUCAAGCACUGGUGCUCCUUUGAUUUGAACAUUGAGUAAACACAAAGAGGUGAUCAACAUAGGGGAAGGGGAUUUUGGAUUCAUGCAUCAAUUUAUCGCAAAUCUAAACUAGUCUCGAAUCCUUUGAAAAUGGGCAGUGGUAACACGUACAGAGUUCAGUACCUAACCAGUAUUAGCGACAUGCUAUUGGACAUACAUACUAGAGCUGUUACUAAUAGGUAAAUUAUUACAAGAUCUACGGUUUUUUUUUGGACCGUGUUGAAAUAAUAACGACAAACGCUAAACAGUACAAGCCUGAAAUUGGUUUCAAGCGGUCAUGGAUCUAAUUGGGAAAAGAGUUGAGCAAACAGUUUGGACUGUUUGGAGUUGUUGCCUUACUUUUUAAUAUGUAUUUAUAAAGUAUUCCAGCAAAAGAGGAUGUAGCCUCUGAAAAACAUACUCUAGUGAUUUUUUGUGACUCUAGUACUAUUACUCAUCGCAGCACCAGCCCUUUGGUUUUAGCUGGAAAGGAUUCUGGAUAAUAUACUUCCUGCAUUCUGAACUGGAUGCUCAUUCCUAACUACUGUAUUUGUUACCAAAAGUGGUUCUAGAAAUGCUACUGAAAAAAAAAUUCUGGAAAUCCUAAUGUCCUGAGUAUUAAUAAUAAAGUUUAAAAUGCUUUUAUAUCAAAGGUGCAUUGUGACCAAAUUGUUUAAAACAAAACAACAAGAAAAAGAGCACUGUAUUAUAAGUAUACAUUAUUGGCUAUCUACUUUGUACUUAAAAGUGGAAUCUUACAUCUUUGGUAGGUAAAAUGCUGAUAAGACUUAUGUACAGUAUAUAUUUAGCUAAUGCAGUUGCAUUAUUAUAUACCGAAAGGUAUGUGUUUCAGGAUUUUUCUCCAGGAUGCUUUUGAACUGUUAUAGAUGUAUGACAACAGUGAGUUGAUAAUCCUAAACCAUCAGUCCAGCAGUAUUUACAGUAUAAAGCUGACUUGGUGUUCUUGAGUCUUUGUGAUAGUUGCAAACAUGAAUUUUAUGACCUGUUGCCAUUGAUAGAAAUACAAUAUAAAUACAAGCUUAUAUAUUUUUCUUCCUACCAUUUAAACAUACAGUAGAAUUUGAGGUCUUACUGUUUCCAAGUGCAAAAAAAAAGGGGGGGGGGGGGGGGAGGAAAGAAAAAGGUUCAAUUGCCAGAUUACAGACUGUUUCAGGAUUAUCAGGUCACAGUUUGUAUACUUGGGUCUGCACAUAUGGAUGUUGUAAACUGAACAACUUUGUAAAAUCUUGACGCUGUUAAUUCUGGAAAAAGCAGAAGUAAACUAGUCAUGAAGCACCAAACACAACAUGGUUUAAUGGGAUUAAUAUAAGCUUCUUUUAAAUAUGGACUGGGACUCUGUGUGAAUUUGGCAAAUACUGUCAUAGGUGAAACGUUUUAUUUUCAAAGUGCUGGAGCAAAGGUGCAAGCUUAAAUACUGAAGACUAAAUAAAUUUAUAACAAAUACUGUCCCUUUAGCCCUGUGGUUUUGACAGUCUUUUGUUUUUAAUUUGAAUUAGAGUUAAAAUUGAUAAUGUGAAUUUUACCUUUGAAGUUAACAUGCGUUCUGAGAGGGCAGAGAGACAUAUGCCUGGCUAGACUGAGAAAUUUUCAAAAACUAAGCUAUUAUGGAAGAAAGAAAUCUCAAUGAUUCCAUGUUUUCUACCUGAUGGGAAUGAAAUAGAACAAUGUGAAAUUAGAAAAGGUACCUUGUCCUGUACUUAGAGAUGAGGUGAGUGUUGACUGUUCAUGGAUAUUCUUAACUUCAGCGUGACCUCCUGGUAUUAAUCAUACAAAACUAACGAGAACCUAGCUGGUUGCAAUAUUGUGUUACCUCUAAUGUGGGGAGAAUGGGGAAUAUCUAAACUUUAUAGAUGAUAUAUCACUUCCAAGAAGGAAUAUUUCUUUAAAUUGAAUGAGACAAUGUGAUAUUAGUCACAUGACUAAAAAGCUGAUGUAAUCUUAAAUUGCACUGUGUGAUGUACUUAAAGGAGCACUUGUCACAGUAGUACAACAGCACCCAUACGAUCCACUGUUGGCUGCAACCCAGAUGCAAUAUUCUGCCGUGUUCCAUGUGCAAGACUCCCAUGAGCAACAGUUGGAGUUUUAUGCAAAGAUGAAGGCAGUAUAUGGGCCCAAGUUGAUUGUGAUCCGUGCAUCUAUUUAAUUAAGCUUUUAUUUGCUUCAUGAUUUCCAGAAACUACCUUUUUUGUUGUUGAAUGUCUUUCACAGACUGCUAGCACUGUAGUUGAUGGGUGGUCGCUCAUCUCCUGUGCCAUAUUGGUUUCAGGUGAUUAAAUGUUAUCAGGUAAAAGUUUUUAAAAAACAAAAAAAACAACAAAAAACUCCCCCCAUCCCCCUACAUGUUUGUUACUAGGGCAUUGCUUCAGGCCAUGGGGGUACAAUGGUUGUAAAGUAAAGUUCCUCUUAGGUACUUUUAAUUGAGCACAUGUUGCUUUCUUCAUCUUGCAAGUUUCCCUUAUGGUUUUCUUUUCAUUGCUUUUGAGUGUUUUUGUGUCUCUUCCAAAUAUUUGAGUGCUUUAAAAAAAUACUCUAAUGCUAUUGGAGUAUUCACAGGCAGGGUUAUAGUAAAUUAAUCUUGGCUUUGUUAACAUAAAUAGAAGGAUUUAAUUUAUUUUUAUCUCCUUCUAUAUAUGGAAAAUUCUAGGAUGUAUAGCCAAGAAAAUUGCUUGAGAGUUGCAGCAGCUGUACUUGUAUAGUACAUGUAUAAGUAUUGCCUCAGGCUCUCUUACACUAUGGAAAAAGAAAAUAUAUUAGAAGCUUUAAAAGCUUUUUUUUAUUAUUGUUUUGUGGAAAAGGAGACAGGGAAAACUGGAUAGAUUCUCCCUUCCAAAAAUAUAUCCUGUUGUUAAUUGGGUGUGUAGAACUGGCUAAGAAUUUUUUUUUUUUUUUCAAAUGCUGCAUCACAAAGUAACAGUCCUCUAACAAAAUAAAGGUGACAACAUACAUGAUCAACAAAUGUUUUUAUUUGCACAUGAAUAUUUUAUUUUUGUAUUUUGGCUCACCUGCUUCCCAGAUCAGAUAUGGAAUGAGCCACAAAUUAGGUUUUCUAGGUGGUGUUGGCAGUGAGUUUUAUAUUCCCCAAUAUUGCAUUUUCAAAGCCUGUAAAAGGAUUGUGUAUUUUGAGCAAAACAGCUCAUUUUUUAAUUUAAAAGAAGGUUUUAUGCAGCGUUGCUUCCUGUCGACAGAAGCUGCGGCAUUUGUUUAAGAGAAACAGACACUCUUUUUAUCAUGACCUCUCUGGAUUCAGGUUUUGUUGGGGUUGUUUUUGGAUCACUUAUUGUAAAUAAGAUGUAAUCAUAACCUCAUGUCUCCAUGAGGAUUUUUCAAAUAUAAAUAGUACCAAUACAUUUCUUAUUGUUGUCCUAUUUUUGAUUGUAGUAUAAAGAAUGACUUGUCAUGCUUUUUGUUUAAAUUAGCAUUAGAUUCAUAGAUGUCUUGAUAUUUUAGCAUUUCAUUGUUUAAGCUGGAGAGGGCAGCAGACAUUCAUCCCCUCCCUCCCCCUCCCCAUAGGAAAGCUCUGGUCCAUUGCUGUUUUUAAACUUAGAAACUAUCUGUGGGUCAGGGGAAUAAAAUGAAACAUUUUUUUUUUAUAUGUGAAAAGUUGCAUAUGAAAAUAUAUAGACUGGUCUAACCAGACUGUGAAAAAGUCUUCUACUUUACAUCAAAGUAAUAAUACAAGGAAAACAGAAUCUUCCACCUUCGGGGUAAAGCAGGUCUUAAACACAUGGAUUCAAAAUGUUGUUCUUUGGAAAUGAGUUACUUUCUUAAAAAUGGUAUCAACAAAACAAACUCAAUGGUGCUCCCAGCUAUAAAUGUGUAACCUUCCUCUGGCACGUGUGCAAGAGGCUUCUGUACUGUGGGUGCAUCUCAAUAAAGAAGCAAUGAAGUGUUUCCUAGGUGGUUGGCUUUUCUUUUUUCCCUGCCCCCUUCCCCUCAGUCUAAAUUCCACAUACCAUUUUUCAGCCCUGUUUCUCCAGCCAUCAGAUACCGUUUCUUGUGCAAGUUAAAUAUU